GAGAGGAACACCAAUUAACUGUUGAGUCAUCUGUACAAAUCUGUCAUUCACAGCU
rnacentral:ribozyme from 1 species